rnacentral:lncRNA from 1 species
ACAAACUUCUUCAAAUCUCUAACUUUCUCUGCCUCAAAAUUCACCUAACUCGAACUUAACAAAACAAAGACACGAAGGCAAAGAGAGGUGCUUCUACAUGUUUCUUUUACCUCUCUUCAAGCAUCUGUAGCUGUAGGAGAGUUCUCAGGUGUCUUCGAAGUCGGAGCUGUUUCAAUUGGUUUACUGCCCUUAUGUUUGUCAACAGCUACACGAAACUCUUCCACGAUCGUUGGGUCUUUGAACUUGAGUGCAAAUGUAGAGAGACCAUCUCUGCCUUCACCAUUCACACAGGCGAAUGUGAUUCCUUUCUUGUCCAUGCUUGCAAGUUUCAUUUGAGGGUAGAGACUCGCGUUUAAGAUCAACCUGUAGUUCCCUUUAGCUCUCAUGACCAGCCUUGCUUUACCACUGUUGCUUGAGACGUUUUGUUGUCAUUCUGCUCUUCUUUGGCUUGGCCUAUCUCACUCUUUAUCACUCACGGCCAGCUUCCCUCUGUUUUGUUCACUCUAUUUGUUACUUGUGUUUCAUCAUCCAAAAGCACACUCACUCAUAACACAAGCUCACACUCUCUCUUUACUCUCUAACGUUUCUUUUUUGUUUGUAUAGAGAGAAGAGAGAACACUUUGUAUGUCUACAUCUUUUAACUCUUUUUCAUUAAUUCUUCUUCAGACACAACCAUACAUACUUAUAGUAGAUUUCUCUACUAACUCCACUUACUCUCCCUUACACUUAUAGCUUUACCUACUCCCACUUGUCCAUGCCUCUAUAUUAGGCCAUGGACUAAUUCUACAAGCAAACUUAUCUUAUUCUAACAACUUCAACUUAACUUAGUUAGCUUAGCAACUAGCUAGUUAUCUUAUUCUUCUUGUUGAGUUUUCUUCCUUGACUUCUUGUUCUUCUUCCUUUCUUAAAACGUAUUUAAACUUAAAUAAUAUAAGAUAUAACCCAACAACAUAUUUAAAUUGACUUUGCAGUUAUGUUAGUUCGGACAAUUGUCAUUGGACGGACACUAGUGCUUAAAAACCCUAAACCAAUAAAAGGCCGGCCCAAACGAGAUUAUUGUUAUACAAAUAACUUGGCUUUCUUCUCUCUCAAGUCUCAACUCUCCAGGGAAAUAAGGCGCCGCUGUUUCAACUUCCCGAUGGCGAGUUCUAGCAUAGCUAAUUCACUGGGUAAGCGAAAGCCGGAAGAUGAUUUGGACACUGAACCGGUUCUGAGGAGACAUAAAUCCGAGGCCAAGGAGACAAGGAGUGAAAGCCAGGUCGAGUUGCUGGAGACAAAGUCUGAUGAGUCAGCUUUAAACUCAGCCAUGGUAUAAUAAUUUCUGUUAGAUACUUUUAAUAUAUCGUAGUAUAACAAGUUUGUGUUCUUACUCUUGUUCUUAUUCAUUGUAACAGGAGACAAUUGAAGGACUUGAUGAAGAUCCAGAUUUUGUUGAGGUAUCUCUUCUUUAAUAUCUUGAAAAGCAAGUUAAAGUCCUUUUCUCCUUAUAGUCUUGCUUGCUGCUAACACGCUUUGAUCCUAAUAAAUUCAGGAAGCUGCAGGACCACCUAAUAAGAAGCUCUUUCUUGACAAACUCUCUAGCGAAACUGAAAUAUCAGAUGUGUAAGUAGAACCCCUUCAGUUUCCACUUUGAUCAAACUUACUUUUCAUAGACUGAUAUAUAUCCUCCAUUCCAUUUUGCCAGCAUCGAUUUCUUCAAAGAUGUUGGACAAGUUGUUGGUGUUCGACUUAUGCUUAACCACAAGGGCGGCCGUGUGGACAAACGUGUGGGCAGGCGUGUGGAAAAUCGUCUGGGUUUAGGCUUUGUUGAAUUUGCUUCUUCUGACGAAGCUAAGAAGGUGAGAGGAGUUUAAUAGUAAUAUAUGAUUAAAAGUAUUUUUAGCAUCUACUUAUGAUGAAAUCAUGCUAGGCGCUGAAAAUGAAGACCGGUGAAUAUUGGAGCCGUAACAAGGUUUUUCUUAAAGUGGCUGCUAUAUCCCUUCCACCCAAGUAAAUUGAUUUAACUUUCUGCUGGCGUUUGAUGCCACUACACAAGUUUAACGCUAUUUUUUUUUCUUGUUUAUCAGGUAUUGCGUAGAUAACAAUGUGUGGUAAGGGUUUUUUAACUAUUAUUUGUUAUCAAUGGAGUACAUUGAAAUUUCACAAGGUUUUCUGAUAUUCCAGGUACGAAGACUACCUUCAACGGGAAGGCCUUCUGAUAGAAGAAUUUGCCGCAGUGGAAGGACUUGAUGAAACUCCUGAGGUACCUCUUGUUAUUUUCUUCAAAAAAUUUCAGACUCAUUUGGCUGUCAUGCUAACACACUCUCCUGCUGACUUCAGGAACCUGCCAUACCAAAAAAGACGCUCUUUGUGGGCCGUUUCUCUCCCCAAACUAAACCAAGAGAUAUGUUAGUAGCACCUUUAGUUUCCUUUUUUCUAUCUCUGGAAAAGUUUUUGCUAACUGAUAUCUUAUCCUGACAGCAUCGAUUUCUUCAAAGAUGUUGGAGGAGUUUCUUAUGUUCGACUUAUAGGAGACCACACGGGCAAGCAUGUGGGCUAUGGCUUUGUUGAUUUUGCUUCUGUGAAUGAUGCAAAUAAGGUGAGAGCUUAGUUUAUACUACUUAUGAUAGGUAGUCAUUUGAAUUCAAUUGCUUAUAAUCUCUUUCAUACUGCAGGCGCUGCAACAGAAGAAUGGUGAAUAUUUGCACGACUGUACAAUUUUUCUUGAACUGGCUAAUAAUGGAGCGACGUACCUUCCACCCAAGUAAAUUGUGUUUUUUUUGUUUUGUUUCUGUAACACUUCUUUUAUCCUAUUGCUCGAGUUUUGAUACCAUUACAGAAGAUUAACGCCUUCUUUUCUUUUAUAUAAAUAUAAUUAGGUAUUGCCUAGAUUACAAGGUUUGGUAAGGACUUUUAACUAUUUACCUCUUUGAGUUUGUUAUGAAUAAUAGCACAUUGGUUUAAGUUUUUGAUAUAAUAUUUCAGGUUCGAAGAAAGCCUUCCGGUUGAAGGACUUGAUGAAACUCCCGAUUUUGCUGAGGUGCCUCUUCUUUAUUAUCUUCAAAAUUUGUCAGGCGAUUAAUAACACAUGUGUUGCUAACAAACAUAGCUGUUAAAUUCAGGCAACUGUCGUACCAAAGAAGACUCUCUUUAUUUCCCAUCUCUCACACCAGAAAACUAUCAUAUCAGAUAUGUAAGCAAAAAUUUCCUCUUUGAGUUAGUUUUUCAUGACUUAUAUAUUUUGCCCUCCAUUUCGACAGCAUCGAUUUCUUCAAAGAUGCUGGGGAAGUUGUUCGGGUUCGACUUAUUCUAGACCAGUAUGGUGAGCAUGCGGGCUUUGGCUUUGUUGAGUUUGCUUCUUCUAACGAAGCAAAUAAGGUGAGAGUAGAAUUUAUUUACCUAGUCAUUUGAAAAUUGUACAAGCCUUUUCUUUUUUUUUUUUGAAAAUACGAUUGCUGAUUAUCUUUUAUCAUGUAGGCGCUGCAACAAAAGAAGGGUGAAUAUUUGCACAACCACAGCAUUUUUCUUGAUGUGGCGAAUAAUGAAUUUGCAGAGAACCUUCCACCCAAGUAAAUUGAUUACUGUUUUAAGGAUUUUGUUUUUGUAAAACCAUUUGCUUAAGUUUAGAUGCCAUUAACGCUAUCUUCUUUUCUUUUCUUUUUUUGUUAAUUAGGCAUUGCAUAGAUCACAAGGUUUGGUAAGGGUUUAACCACUUGUUUUAAAGAGCACAUACGUUUUUGUUACACAUGGAGAGUUCACACGGGUUUAUUUUUGAUAUUCCAGGUUCAAUGAAGACUUGCUUCAAAGUGAAAGUUUUAUGAUAGAAGAAGAUAAGACGACACCUCCGGAUUUUGCUGAGGUAACUAUUCUUAUCAUCUUCAAAAUAUGAUAUGUCAGGCUUCAGAAGAAACGCUUAGCGUUUAGUAACACAACUGUUGCCGGGGAUGAGUUUGUUGUUAUGCAGUUCAAGUCCUUUUCCUAUAAAGAUUCGUGCUUGCUAACACAAUUGGUUGUUAAUUUCAGAACGUACUCCUUGUUGCCAACCUCUCUCCACAAACAACUAAAAUAUCACAUAUGUAAGUAGCAUCUUAAAUUUCCAUGUUGCUUAAGUUUUUCAUGACUGAUAUUUUUUAAUCCUCUUCAUUGACAGCAUCAAGUUCUUCAAAAAUGUUGGAGACGUUGUCAGUGUUCGACUUAUUGUUAACCGCGAGUGUAAGCAUGUGGGCUAUGGCUUAAUUGAGUUUGCUUCUCCUUAUGAAGCACAGGAGGUGAGACUAGUUUUGUUUUAAUGAUGAAAAAGGUAUUAAAACUUAGCUGAUAAAUUUUUUUUUAACUGUAGGCGCUGAAAAUGGUGAAUGGUGCAUAUAUGGACGAUCAUAAGAUUAUGUUGAUGAAAGGACUUGAUCAAACUCCCGAUUUUGUUGAGGUAGCUUUUCUUAUGAUCUUCAAAUAUUUCAGGCUUAAAAGAGAUGCCCAGAAAGUCUAAAGAUGACUUAUUCUGUGGAUGAGUCUUGUUUUUGUUAUGCAAUUGAAGUGCUUUUCUCCUUUUGAGUCGUGCUAACACACUAGGCUGUUAAAAAUUCAGGUAGUUGCCACCUCAAGAAGUAAGACGCUCUAUGUUGCCAAUCUCCCUCGCGAAAAAACUGAAAUAUCACAUAUGUAAGUAGCACUUUUAAUUUGGGAGCAAGUCUUUCAUGACUAAUGUUUUUUCCUGACAGCAUCGAUUUCUUCAAAGAUGUUGGAGAAGUUGUUCAUGUUCGACUUAUUUGCAACCUCAUGGGCAAUCAUGUGGGCACUGGCUUUGUUGAGUUUGCUUCUGCUGAUGAAGCAAAGAAGGUGAGGAGUUUAUUUUAUUUUAAUGACUAAAAGUAUUUUAGUAGUCAUUUGAAAGUUUGAUUGCUGAUAAAAAUUCUCUUUUACUUAGGCGCUGGAAAAGAAAAACGGUGAACAUUUUCACCGUCGCAAGAUUUUUCUUGAUGUUCCUAAGAAGGCUCAAGGCCGAUUCAAGUAUGUUUAUGCAAACCUGAUUCCAACUUGUUGCUUGAGUUUUUGAUUCAGAAGACUAACGCUAUUAUUAUUGUUGAUUAGGUAUUGCAUUGAUCACAAGGUUUGGUAAGGAAUUUAACUAAAUUUGUUAUGAGCACUUUGGUUAUAGUUGUUUCUAUACAUUGAUAGAUGAUACUUUUUUUUUAUAUUGUAGGUACGAAGACUACCUUCGACAAGAAAGCCUUUUGAUAGGAGCUGACGAAACUCCCGAUUUUGCUGAGGUACCUGUUCUUGUUAUCUUUCAAAUUAUGUCCUGCUCGUAGGCAUUUAAUAACACAACUGUUGUCACAAAGUCUAAAGAUACUUAUUGGUUGCUAAAUACAGGAAAAUGUCGUUCGAAGAAAGACACUCUUUGUUGCCAAUCUUUCUCACGACAAUAACAAAUUGCAGAUUUCAAAUAUGUAAGUAGCACCUUUAAUUACCUAUUUCGUUCUUGUAGCAAGGUUUUGACGACUGAUAUUACAACUUUCAUUUGUACAGUUCCAAAAUCUUCAAAGAUGUUGUACAAGUUGUCCGUGUUCGACUUAUUGUAGACCACUGUGGUGAGCAUGUGAGCUGUGGGUUUGUUGAGUUUGCUUCUGCUAAUGAAGCACAGAAGGUGAUGAGACUACUGAUGAAAAAUAGUAUCUGAAAGUAAGAUAUGCUGAUUAAAUCUUCUUAUCCUGCAGGCGCUACGACACUGGAAAAGAAGAUGUAAGCUUAUUUUCCACGAGGCUGAAAUAGCUGCUACGUACCCUUUCCAACACAAGUAAAUUAAUGUUCCCUAUGUAGAUUUGUUUCGCUAACGCAUUGCUUUUGUGUUGAUGUCAUAACAAAGUAUUAACACUAUUGUUUUUGUUAAUUAGGUACAACCUUGCACAAAAGCUUUGGUAUGUGAUUUAAGUAUAUGCAUUUUUAGUUUUUGUUAUCAAGAGUCUGAUAAGGGGGUUUGAUAUAUUCCAGGUACGAGGACAAGCUUAGACGAGAAUAUUUGAAGACCUCCCCGAAUCUGAAGAUCGCCUCCACUGACAAGUGAUAGAAAAAGAUGAAGGGCUCUUUGGAGUUUUUACGUACAGUGGCAACUUAGUUUAUAACUUUUUAUUAUCAGUAAUGUUUAAAUGCCUUACUUUGAUCUCUCACUGCAACGCUCAGGUUUUUUAUCACUAUGACUUAUCGUUUUCCUUAUAACUGUCCGCGACAAGAUAGAGUUUAGAUCAACUGCUUUUCUCACACUGGGAGACCAGCCCCGAAUACCAAAUAACUUCUAAAAGUUCUCAUUACCCCUUGUCUUUUCUCACUAUUCUUUGUUUAGAGCAUUUUUAACUCUUUGCUGUUAUCACUUCUAUAAUAGUAUUUGGUGGUAAAAGUUUGAGAAAAAGACUAGGAUAGCACCAAACCAAGUUUUUGUUCCCAAAGUAGCACUCAAGGCUCAAAGUCACAAAAAUAAGUUUCAUUAAAGAGGUAAAUAUACACUUAUACCCCUUGGGUUAAUUAAUCAAAACCUUAGGGUUUAGAGUUAAUGGUUGGGGUUUUGGAAUUAGGGUUUAAAAUUUUAUAAAAAAUAAAUACUAAAAUAAAAAAUAAAAUUUUAAAAACAGUUUCAAAAAAUAUUUUUAAAUUAUAAAAAGAAAAUUUGAAAAAAUAAAAAAAAAUUUAAAAACCAAAUUUCAGAAAAAAAUUUAUAAAAAUUUCGAAUCUGAAAACAUAUAAUCUGAAACUAUAAAAAAAAAUUCUUUUUUUUAUUUUUUUUAUUUUUAUUUUAUUGAUUUAUUUUUAUUUAUUUUUGUUUGUUUAUUUAAUUUUAAACCAAGGGUAUUAGGGAUAUUUUAUCUUUUAAUGAAAGUCAUUUUUGUGAUUUUCUCCUUCUAGUGCUAUUUUUGAGACAUAAACUUCAAAAUGUGUUAUUAUUGACAAUUGCCCUAAAAGUUUUCUAAUCCACCUUUAUUUCUUCUUUUGAAAGAAAAAUUGUUUUUUCUACUGUUUAUAGAAAAAAAAUAUAACAUUUCUCUAUUUUAUAUUUUAGGACCCGUGCGUUGCACAUGUUUUAUUUAAUGUUUUAAUACACAAACACAUAAAAAGAAUGAAAAUAUUUUUUUUAAAUUAGUUCUUGGAUUUUUUCAUUAUGUAUUGGUCUUAUUUUAGUAAUAAUAUUUUGUUUCUUACAUAAAUUUUGAUUCAUAUUUCUAUUUCAGUAAUCAUGGUGUUUUAAAUAGCAUAUUAAUAUUUUUAUUUUUAAUAUAUACUUCACUUUUAAUUAUUUUUCAAAAAUAACAAAAUUUAAAAUGUUAAAAUUACACAACAUCAGUCAAUAUGUAUUAUUCAUAGUCAGUUAAAUAUCAAAUAUAUUGCUAGAUAAAACAUAAAAUUUGUUUACUUUAACAUCCAUGGUGUGACUUUAACCUCUUUUUUAUAUAUAAUAUUUUAUUGAAACUUUUUUAUAGAUAUUUUGUAGUACACAACUGUCGUUAUGUUUUAAAAUUUGAAGCUCUGUAGUUGUAGCGACUAUGUGAUAUGUGAUGUAUAAUUGUAAGACUGAACUUGAUAAAUAUAGACCACCCUUUUAAACUUUGAUCUUAAUCUUGUUGAUAGUCAUUGCAUAACAAACUUGUAUAGGAAAUUGACGUCAUUUCGGUUUGAAAAACCAUCUUACAUCUGCAUCUGUUGGGUAUAAGACUUCUUCUAGGAAUAAAUUAUUUUUCUUUCAGCUAACUUCCGGUUAGGAUUUCUUCUCCAUAGUCAAGUCAUGUUGUCCAUUGCAAAGUCCUUCUCUUUUAUUUAAAUUUCUUAGUAGCAGGACCUACAACAUUUCAUUGCAAAGUCAUUAUCUUUUAUUUAAAUUUCUUAGUAGCAUAACCUACAACAAAAUAACCAAUUUUAUAUUUCGACAAAAACAAACACACAUAAGCAUAAUAGUCAUAUUAACUUCCCCCAUUAACUGACGCACAACAACAUGUACAAACGUAUAAGUAUAACUGAGGCAAUAACUAACGUACGGUAGUAUGACAAUUAUAUUUUUUUUUCUUUAAGAGAUCAACAUCAGUUUAAUGUGAAAAUCAGGAUAUCUAGUUAUUUCCUCAAGAUGUGACGCCCCCCCCAAAAAAGAGUAGAACAUGCGAAAAUGUAAAAGAACAUGCAGAAAAACUCAUUUAGUAUUUUUCUUGUAUCUCUAGUUAUUAUGUUUGGUGUCAAAGUAUGAGAAGUGACAAAAUAUGAGAGUGCUUAAUCACAUACAUAGAUGUGAAUAACUGUAAUUCCUUUUGGUUUAUGAUUUAAAAAAAUAAAAAAAUUAACUAUUAAAAUAGGAAAGUUGAUUAUUCAUAGAGAAAUUUGAAAUAAUUAUUCUACAAAUCUUUUUUUAUUAGGAUUUGAAGAAAGAAAAACUACUAUUAAACAUUCUUUUACAGUUUUCUUAUGUUUAAGCUUUUAGAAAAGGAGAAUUAGUAUCAAAUAAUAUUUUACAAUUAUAUUUUCUUUAGAAAUUUAGAAAAGGAAAAUUAGUGUUAAAUAAUUUUUGACAAAUAUUUUUAAAAAGGAAAAAGUAGAGAAAAUAUUAUUAAAUAUUUAAUUUAAAAAAAAAAUUCUAUCGUCUUAUUAUAUUUUUAUUAAUCAUGAGAUAUUUUAACACAUGUCAAUUUUUUUUUUUGAAAGAAAAUUACUAUCAAAUAAUCAUGAGAUGUUUUUUCUCUAUUUUUGCCAUGCUUGCAAAGUUUAGUUUAUGAAAUCCUUUUGUAAACAUUUUCAUUUAUAUGAUAUUAACAGUUAAGCAAAAAAAAAACUGUAUCAAAAUCUAACUAAAUUUGUUUUUAUAAAUGUCAAUCAAUAUAAAUAUUAACCUAAAUAGAUUCGGAUUCCUGAACUUUAUAAACAUUUUUUGUAUAUUAUUAUCUUUUGUUGAACUAUUAAAUAUUAUUUAACAACAAAACUUAAUCUCUUUCGUAAUUAAAUUUAUGUAUAAGUGUACAUGUCCUUAGGCAAAUAUUUGUUUUCCAACAAUGUAUACUAUCAUUUCUCUUAAGGGAUGACAAAAUUAUUAAUUACCAACAUUGGGCUUACAAGUUACGAGUAAGAGAAUUUGAAGGUCACAUUCCAGAAAGCUUGGGCCUAGGCCCACUAAUAGUAAGUGACAUGUGAAUGUUUAAGGCCUAUAUUAUCUCGCACUGAUUUUAGCAGUGUAGGUGGCUGGUCUGUUUCGGUCUAGUCCGGUCAAGUUGUAAAACCUAUCUCUCCUACUCUCAAGAACGACCUUACAAAACAGGAUCAAACACAGAUAUAAGGAGGCAUACAAACGGUUCAUAUAAAGAGAUUAAGAAGCAAAUAUAAGUCUCAAGGUAACCCACAAAGUCUCAACAACUGUAGAAAAGAAACAACAACACAACAAACUUCUUCAAAUCUCUAACUUUCUCUGCCUCAAAAUUCACCUAACUCGAACGUGCUUCUACAUGUUUCUUUUACCUUUCUUCAAGCAUCUGUAGCUGUAGGAGAAUUCUCAGGUGUCUUCAAAGCCGGAGCUGUUUCAACUGGUUUACUGCCCUUAUGUUUGUCAACAGCUACACGAAACUCUUCCACGAUCGUUGGGUCUUUGAACUUGAGUGCAAAUGUAGAGAGACCAUCUCUGCCUUCACUAUUCACACAGGCGAAU